rnacentral:rRNA from 1 species
GAUGAACGCUAGCGAUAGGCUUAACACAUGCAAGUCGAGGGGCAGCACAAGGUAGCUUGCUAUCUGGGUGGCGACCGGCGCACGGGUGCGUAACGCGUAUGCAACUUGCCCUAUACAGGAGGAUAACCCGUCGAAAGACGGACUAAUACUGCGUAUGCUCACAACUUGGCAUCAAGUGGUGAGGAAAGAAAUUCGGUAUAGGAUAGGCAUGCGUCCCAUUAGCUUGUUGGUGAGGUAACGGCUCACCAAGGCAACGAUGGGUAGGGGAACUGAGAGGUUUAUCCCCCACACAGGUACUGAGACACGGACCAGACUCCUACGGGAGGAAGCAGUGAGGAAGAGUGGUCAAGGGGCGCGAGCCUGAACCAGCCAAGUCGCGUGAAGGAUGACUGUCUUAUGGAUGGUAAACUUCUUUUAUACGGGAAUAACAAGAGUCACGGGUGACUCCCUGCAUGUACCGUAUGAAUAAGCAUCGGCUAACUCCGUG